AUUGAACGCUGGCGGCAGGCCUAACACAUGCAAGUCGAGCGGAUGAAGGGAGCUUGCUCCUGGAUUCAGCGGCGGACGGGUGAGUAAUGCCUAGGAAUCUGCCUUGUAGUGGGGGAUAACGUCCGUAAACGGGCGCUAAUACCGCAUACGUCCUGAGGGAGAAAGUGGGGGAUCUUCGGACCUCACGCUAUCAGAUGAGCCUAGGUCGGAUUAGCUAGUUGGUGGGGUAAAGGCCUACCAAGGCGACGAUCCGUAACUGGUCUGAGAGGAUGAUCAGUCACACUGGAACUGAGACACGGUCCAGACUCCUACGGGAGGCAGCAGUGGGGAAUCUUGGACAAUGGGCGAAAGCCUGAUCCAGCAAUGCCGCGUGUGUGAAGAAGGUCUUCGGAUUGUAAAGCACUUUAAGUUGGGAGGAAGGGCAGUAAGUUAAUACCUUGCUGUUUUGACGUUACCAACAGAAUAAGCACCGGCUAACUUCGUG
rnacentral:rRNA from 1 species